UACGUAGGGUGCAAGCGUUGUCCGGAAUUAUUGGGCGUAAAGAGCGCGUAGGCGGCCCUGUAAGUCCGCUGUGAAAGUCAAGGGCUCAACCCUUGAAUGCCGGUGAAUACUGCAGGGCUAGAGUCCGGAAGAGGCGAGUGGAAUUCCUGGUGUAGCGGUGAAAUGCGCAGAUAUCAGGAGGAGCACCGAUGGCGAAGGCAGCUCGCUGGGACGGUACUGACGCUGAGGCGCGAAAGCGUGGGGGAGCAAACAGG
rnacentral:rRNA from 1 species